rnacentral:rRNA from 1 species
AGUGAACGCUGGCGGUAGGCCUAACACAUGCAAGUCGAACGGCAGCACAGUAAGAGCUUGCUCUUACGGGUGGCGAGUGGCGGACGGGUGAGGAAUACAUCGGAAUCUACUUUUUCGUGGGGGAUAACGUAGGGAAACUUACGCUAAUACCGCAUACGACCUACGGGGGAAAGCAUGGGAUCUUCGGACCUUGCGCGAUUGAAUGAGCCGAUGUCGGAUUAGCUAGUUGGCGGGGUAAAGGCCCACCAAGGCGACGAUCCGUAGCUUGUCUGAGAGGCUGGUCAGCCACACUGGAACUGAGACACGGUCCAGACUCCUACGGGAGGGAGCAGUGGGGAAUAUUGGACAAUGGGCGCAAGCCUGGUCCAGCCAUCGCGCGUGGGUGACGAAGGCCUUCGGGUUGUAAAGCCCUUUUGUUGGGAAAGAAACGCAGCAGGUUAAUACCACGCUGUUCUGACGGUAACCAAAGAAUAAGCACCGGCUAACUUCGUG